AAGGACCGCGAGAUAGCAUCGGGAAAGGUAGUUGAAUUAUCUGGAAAGGUAAGACAAAGAGGGUGAAAUCCCCGUAAACGAAAUCUUAAACGAGCGAGCGUAAUCCGGAGUACGUCGGGACACGAGAAAUCCUGACGGAAGAAAUGGGGACCAUCCCAAAAGGCUAAAUACGACCAUGUGACCGAUAGCGAAUAGUACCGUGAGGGAAAGGUGAAAAGAACCCCGGGAGGGGAGUGAAAUAGAACCUGAAACCGUAAGCUUACAAGCAGACAGAGCACAUUUUAGGUGUGAUGUCGUACUUUUUGUAGAACGGGCCGGCGAGUUACGAUGUGAUGCGAGGUUAAGUGUUAAAGACACGGAGCCGAAGCGAAAGCGAAUCUGAAAAGGGUGCAAAGUAUCAUGUCGUAGACCCGAAACCGAAUGACCUAACCAUGAGCAGGUUGAAGCAAUGGUAAAACGUUGUGGAGGACCGAACACACGCCUGUUGAAAUAGUCGGUGAUGACUUGUGGUUAGCGGAGAAAUUCCAAACGAAUUCGGAUAUAGCUGGUUCUCCUCGAAAUAGCUUUAGGGCUAGCCUCGUAUAUGAUCCUUGUCGGUAGAGCACUAACUGGCCUAGGGGGCUUCACAGCCUACCGAAGCUUAUUAAACUCCGAAUGGCAAGGAAUCGAGUACGGGAGUCAGACAGCGACAGCUAAGUGCCGUUGUCAAAAGGGAAACAGCCCAGAUCUACAGCUAAGGUCCCCAAGUGCAGGUUAAGUGGAAAAGGAUGUGACAAUGCAUAGACAACCAGGAUGUUGGCUCAGAAGCAGCCACACAUUAAAAGAGUGCGUAAUAGCUCACUGGUCGAGUGAUGUUGCGCCGAAAAUUAACGGGGCUCAAACCUGCCACCGAAGCUUAGGAAUACGCGAUGCGUAUUGGUAGAGGAGCAAUGUAUAUGCGCAGAAGCCGUACCGGAAGGAGCGGUGGAGUAUAUAGAAGAGAGAAUGCCGGCAUAAGUAGCGAGAGCGGAGCGAGAAACUCCGCCGUCGAAAGUCUGAGGUUUUCCGGGGAAGGUUCGUCCGCCCGGAGUAAGUCGGGACCUAAGCGGAGGCCGAAAGGCGUACGUGAUGGACAGCGGGUUGAUAUUCCCGCACUACCGAGAGAGUAAAUGAAGCAGUGACACGGAAAGAUAGAAGAAGCGCGCAGAUGGAAAAGCGCGUCCAAGCAGUGAGGGAGGCUUGUAGUAAAGUACGCAAGUCAUAAUCCUGGGCUGUGACGGGGAGUGGACCAAGGAAACGAAGUCUUCGAAUCUACGCCGGCGAGAAAAGCUGCUAAAUAUUUCGAGGUACCCGUACCGCAAACCGACACAGGUAGACGAGAAGAAAAUUCUAAGACGAACGGGAGAACCCUUGUUAAGGAACUCGGCAAAAUGACCCCGUAACUUCGGGAGAAGGGGAGCCAUGGAGACAUGGCCGCAGUAAAGAGGCCCAAGCGACUGUUUAUCAAAAACACAGGUUUCUGCUAAGGCGUAAGCCAAGGUAUAGGAGCUGACUCCUGCCCAGUGCCGGAAGGUCAAGGGGAUCCGUCAACGCAAGUGAAGCGGUGAACUUAAGCCCCGGUGAACGGCGGCCGUAACUAUAACGGUCCUAAGGUAGCGAAAUUCCUUGUCGGGUAAGUUCCGACCCGC
rnacentral:rRNA from 1 species